CCGGGCUCAACCUGGGAACUGCAUUCGAAACUGGCAGGCUUGAGUCUUGUAGAGGGGGGUAGAAUUCCAGGUGUAGCGGUGAAAUGCGUAGAGAUCUGGAGGAAUACCGGUGGCGAAGGCGGCCCCCUGGACAAAGACUGACGCUCAGGUGCGAAAGCGUGGGGAGCAAACAGGAUUAGAUACCCUGGUAGUCCACGCCGUAAACGAUGUCUACUUGGAGGUUGUGCCCUUGAGGCGUGGCUUCCGGAGCUAACGCGUUAAGUAGACCGCCUGGGGAGUACGGCCGCAAGGUUAAAACUCAAAUGAAUUGACGGGGGCCCGCACAAGCGGUGGAGCAUGUGGUUUAAUUCGAUGCAACGCGAAGAACC
rnacentral:rRNA from 2 species